UUAUUGGAGAGUUUGAUCCUGGCUCAGGACGAACGCUGGCGGCGUGCCUAAUACAUGCAAGUCGAGC
rnacentral:rRNA from 2 species